rnacentral:rRNA from 1 species
GGGAAUUUUGCGCAAUGGGGGAAACCCUGACGCAGCAACGCCGCGUGGAGGAUGAAGUAUCUCGGUACGUAAACUCCUUUCGAUGGGGAAGAUAAUGACGGUACCCAUAGAAGAAGCCCCGGCUAACUUCGUGCCAGCAGCCGCGGUAAUACGAGGGGGGCAAGCGUUGUUCGGAUUUAUUGGGCGUAAAGGGUGCGUAGGCGGUUUGGCAAGUCUUAUGUGAAAUCUAUGGGCUCAACCCAUAGUCUGCAUGAGAAACUACCGGGCUUGAGUGAUGGAGAGGUGAGUGGAAUUUCCGGUGUAGCGGUGAAAUGCGUAGAUAUCGGAAGGAACACCUGUGGCGAAAGCGGCUCACUGGACAUUAACUGACGCUGAUGCACGAAAGCUAGGGGAGCAAAC